UCCUCUUUCUAGGGUAAUUGUCUAGUUGCAGCUCUGUGGGGAAGUCUGGUUUUCAAAGAAGUCAAAGGUUUGGUAAACUGUUCAAUCUUCAUAGUAGCCUCCUGUGUUGUCCUGACUGGAUCAAUGUUGACGGCCUUCUCCAAUGUGUAACAUAAUCAAUAUACCCCCUAGAUGGCAGCAUUUAUACAGGAGUGGCCAUCCUAAAGGAGUCCUGAGGUGUGUUUUGAAAGCUAAUGGACAGAGCUGAUUCACGAUCCCCUAUUCUGUCUGAGACAAUCAUAUUUGUUCUGGACAAUACAUUCCUAUUUGAAUGUUCUCUGUUACACCCUCAUGAACAGGGCCCUAGAUGGUGAAGUGUGUUUGUCUCUGAUAGUCCUUCAGUUUAGUCUGUACAUCUAAUGGAGCACUUGAUCACCUGGUUAAUGAGGGUUCAGCUGUUGCUGGGACUUCUGUUGUCACGUAUUCAAUAGUUUGACGAAUUAAAGGGCAUUUUGAAUGUUAAGAGGGACGAUGUAUAAUUAAUUUAAAAUGUUCAUACUCUACUGAAAAUAUUUAUGGUGUUUUCUGUGGUAUUUUACUAUGUAUGUGUUAAAGUCAUAAUCUUUAAGAUCUUAAUGUUAAUCUUUAUAUGGGACAUGUUUGAAUAAAAUGGCUAACACUCA